rfam:Staphylococcus aureus subsp. aureus NCTC 8325, complete genome.
ACAAAUUCCCGGUAACCAUUCCGGCUUCAUUCUCUUGAAGAAUGACAUAUUCUCAGCGUUUUAGCUGAAGGUCAGAUGAUACGUCAUCUGGCCUCUUU